AGCUAAGGCAGUACAGGACAUGUUGAAGUACUUAGUGUAUGAGGACUGGCUCCUGGAGCUUUUUAAAAUCUGCCCCACCUGCUCCAGACUCUGUGAAGUUGACACGUUUGUUAAAGGAACAUUCCUCUCUGUAACCCAGAAGUGCCUCUACACAUGUGUCUCUUCCUCAAGACUCCACAGCCCUGAUAACACCUGCUGAGAGUGAGAGGAGGGGAGAGGACACCAACUAGAGAACCCAGAACUAUGAGGACGGGAGGAAGCCAAGGUACUCCUGGUGGAUACGGACAACAACGCAGGAAGGUAUCACUACCCGGUUGUGCUUUCCCAGGUAUCCCCAGCACCAGGAAACGAAGGAUGCCAGCACAUCAUGAUCCCUAGAAGAUGAAAGAUGGAUCAACCUGCAGCGUGCCUGAAAUCUAUUUGGCUGUAUGGAUUGGCCUGGACAUCUGUUUUUUUUCUUUGUUUGCAUUUUUCUGAUUUAUUUAGCCUAGGUGGAUGACUGCUCUCUACUGAGUAUAUUCUUUAGUCAUUUUUGGAUGUUCACUAACUUGUGUUUGUACUGUCCAGGACUUUUGUGAAUGUAAAACAUUAUUUUUGAUUAUUUACAUUUGUCUGUAGGCGCCACUUUUUAUUUAUAGCUCAGAGACACUUUACAUUCUAAUUGUUUGGCUGUGCAUUGAUCCUGACAAUACCAAAACUGAGUUAAACUAACUCUAAACCAACUCUGUGUUUCCUAAAACUCUCAGCUUAUUUUUAAGAAAUGCAUUCAAUUUGACUAACAUAACUGUUAUUUUGACAUUCCUAAAUAAAAAU